GUGGGGAAUCUUGCGCAAUGGGCGAAAGCCUGACGCAGCCAUGCCGCGUGAAUGAUGAAGGUCUUAGGAUUGUAAAAUUCUUUCACCGGGGACGAUAAUGACGGUACCCGGAGAAGAAGCUCCGGCUAACUUCGUGCCAGCAGCCGCGGUAAUACGAAGGGGGCUAGCGUUGCUCGGAAUUACUGGGCGUAAAGGGCGCGUAGGCGGACAGCUUAGUCAGAGGUGAAAGCCCAGGGCUCAACCUUGGAAUUGCCUUUGAUACUGGCUGUCUUGAGUUUGGGAGAGGUGAGUGGAACUCCGAGUGUAGAGGUGAAAUUCGUAGAUAUUCGGAAGAACACCAGUGGCGAAGGCGACUCACUGGCCCAAUACUGACGCUGAGGCGCGAAAGCGUGGGGAGCAAACAGGAUUAGAUACACCGAGUAGUCC
rnacentral:rRNA from 1 species